GAAAUGCGAUAAGUAAUGUGAAUCGCAGAAUUCAGUGAAUCAUCAAAUCUUUGAACGCACAUUGCACCCUCUGGAUUCCAGGGGGUAUGCCUGUCCGAGCGUCGUCACAAAAGAUCCCUCGAGAUUCCCAGGAGCUCGACGGACGUUGGGUGUGGCCCCGAUCACUGGGGCCCUCCCAAAAGCCAGUGGCGGCGGUGGCCCGGCCCCGAGCGCAGUAGACUUCUCUCGCCCGGGGGCCUGGGCGGCGUGCCGGCCAGCAAGACUUUAGCCACACCAAAGGUUGACCUCGGAUCAGGUAGGAGCACCCGCUGAACUUAA
rnacentral:rRNA from 1 species